rnacentral:tRNA from 1 species
GGAGGGAUGCGUGAGCGGUUGAAACGGGCGGUCUUGAAAACCGCUGUACCCGAAAGGGUACCGGGGGUUCGAAUCCCUCUCCCUCCG